ACGAGGAUAGCAAUACCUAGCUGGCAGUACGAGGUUGAGUAACACGUAAGUCAACCCUACCAUUUUAGCUGGGGGAUAACUAGCCGAAAGGUUAGCGUAAUACCGCAUAUGAUCGUCGAGCGGCAUCGCGUUGACGAUGAAAGCAGCAAUGCGCUAAGAGACGGGACUGCGUCCCAUUAGCUAGUUGGUGGGGUGAAGGCCUACCAAGGCUCCGAUGGGUAGCUGGCUUGAGAGAGCGACCAGCCACACUGGAACUGAGACACGGUCCAGACUCCUACGGGAGGCAGCAGUGAGGAAUUUUCCGCAAUGGGCGCAAGCCUGACGGAGCGACGCCGCGUGUGGGAAGAAGGCCUUCGGGUCGUAAACCACUGUCGAAGGGGAACGA
rnacentral:rRNA from 1 species